UUGACCUCGGAUCAGGUAGGAAUACCCGCUGAACUUAAGCAUAUCAAUAAGCGGAGGAAAGGAUCAUUAAAGAGUUAUUACAACUCCCAACCAUGUGAACUUACCUUCUGUUGCCUGGCAGGUCGCGACCUACCCUGUGAGGCCCUACCUGUAGGGCCUACCUGGUUAGUCGCGGGUACCCCUGCCGGUGGCCCUGAAAACUCUGUUUUAUUGUUAUUCUGAAUCC
rnacentral:rRNA from 1 species